AACUCUCAAAACCCCCAAAUCCUCAAGAACCCUAAAAUCGAAAAUCCCAAAUACUAAAUUCGUGAACCCUAAAUUGAAACCUCAAUCCCAAAUCAAACCCCAAUACUAAAUCAAACUUCAUUCCCGAAUCAAACCUAAUUCCGAUUCCACCUCAAUCUUCGAUUUCUUCUGCAAAUAUCGAUAGUGGAGUGGCUCUUGGGUAUGAUUCCGAUGGUGAAGAUCGCAGGGAGCAGAAUCACUACAACAUCGAGCAAGCUCUGACUGAGUAUCAAGAUGAGCUUUCCAUAAGGCACAAUAUGUACCCGAACUUGGAUGAAGAAGAUGCGACGUGAGCGAAGGCUCAGAGACGCGACAGUUUCCGACAAGGCAAUGGAAGCUUGUACUUAGGACAAGUCUUCGUCAGUGGUAUAACGUUCAAGGAGAGUGUCCUGGACUAUGUGCUGAAGAAUGGUUACAAUCUGAGUCAGUACAGGUAUGACAAGACGAAGCUUUGGUUUAAGUUUGAGGGAGAUGGUUUUUCAUAGCGCAUCUACUGCUCUUGACCAGGUAACAAUACAAUGUGGGAGGUUGCGGUGUUUGAGUCAGUUCAUUGUAGUGUUCCCAAUAGGGUUUGUGAGAUGUUCAAGGUGUCGGUGAUUGUCUGACUCUUUUUUGAUAAGAUUCAUGAAGAACCAGAAUACUUCAUGCCUAUGAAGAUUAAGGAGUUGGUUAUGGAGAAGUGGAAGAUAUCUGUGACAAGGCUUCAAUGCCAGCAUGAGAGGAAUAAAGCUCUGAGAUGGAUUGAAAGAGAGUAUGAGGAGCAGUUUGCACGUCUCCGAGAUUAUGCAAAAAAGAUAGAAGUCUCUAAUCCUGGAACUUCCAUGGAGGUUGAUUGCAUGAUAAAUGAAGAACGUAAACAUGUCUUUCAAAGAUUAUAUGUCUGCUCCGAGAACCUCAGAAGAUCAUGGAAAGAAAACUGUAGGCCGAUGAUAGGAGUGGAUGGUUGUUUCUUAAAAAUUGUCCACAAAGACGAGUUGUUUGUUGCAAAUGGUCGAGAUGCAGACAAUCAGAUCUACCCAGUCGCAUGGGCUGUAGUACAAAAGGAAAAAGAUGAUAAUUAGGGUUGGUUCUUUGGUAAGAUCAAGCAUGAAUUAGGACUAGAAGAUGGAGAUGGUUAUGUUUUAAUCUAUGAUCGCCAAAAGGGAUUGAUCAGUGCCGUUCAAAAAAUCCUGCCAAAGAUAGAGCAUAGAAUGUGUACAAGGCACAUUUACAUGAACUUGAAGCCUCGACAUACUAAGAAUCCAGAGUUGAAAGGUUUGAUUUGGCAUGUACCUUGGAGCUACAAUGGGCCAGAAUUUAGGGAAAAUUUGUGGAAGAUAGAGUUAUAUGAUGAAGCAGUGCACCGAGAUUUGAUGAAAACAAAACCGGAGACAUGGUGCAGAGCAUUCAACAAGCUUGGAUCUUAUUGUGAGAAUGUGGAGAAUAAUUCAGUUGAAUCAUUCAACAACUCUAUAGGUAAAGCUAGGGAUAAGGCCUUAGUGCCUAUGCUAUAGACCAUUGCAAGAUUGGCAAUGGUUCGUAUAGCCAAAAGAGAUAUAAAAGCCACUAACUACAAUGGCUUUUGUACGCCAUACAUGAAGAAAUACUUCGAAGAGUUGCAUGACAAAGCUUCAGGAUGCUUUGUUAGACCAUCCACUAACAUGAAAUUUUCUUCUAUAAUCGAUGGAUGCACUCACCGAGUGGACUUGGCUAAUAAGAGAGGAAUUAUCGAUAGUUCACCCUGAUAUCCCAAAGAUGUCUGGUCGAAAGAAGGAUAACGAUAAGGCGGAGGAGAAAGUUACAAAGAAGGAUAAAAGAGGAAGAGAGGGAAGAAUGAGUCUCCCACGAAGAAGGCAGAACCAUUGGAGAAGAGGAGAACUAUGCAUUGUGGAAUAUGUGGAGCUGCUGGUCAUAAUUCUCAGUGGCAUAAUAAGAAGAAGAAAUCAAGAUCUGCGGUUCCUUUACUUGAGUCAUCAUCUCAAGUUGAAUCCUCACAAGGAGUUCUCAAUCAGCUUGACAAGACGAAGUGUUUUCUUUAGAUGUGUCUUUUGAUGCUGUUUAGAACAUGUUUUUAAUCUAUGUUAUGGCUGUCUUUUUGGACCUCUUUCAGCUUGUUCUGCGGCAAUGUCUUUCUUCUUAUUUUGUGGAUGUUUU